rnacentral:misc_RNA from 1 species
AACGAGGCCGACCUGCGGCUGAGUUACCUGCGGAGGGAUCAUUACAAGUGACCCCGGUCUAACCACCGGGAUGUUCAUAACCCUUUGUUGUCCGACUCUGUUGCCUCCGGGGCGACCCUGCCUUCGGGCGGGGGCUCCGGGUGGACACUUCAAACUCUUGCGUAACUUUGCAGUCUGAGUAAACUUAAUUAAUAAAUUAAAACUUUCAGCAACGGAUCU